ensembl:lncRNA
CUGUUCUUGAAUUUUUAAACACAUUUUUUGGUCUCUGUUCACUCGUGGAUCUCUGAGCUAAUGAACUUGUUGACAGGAAUGUUCACCAUAACAACCCAUUUAUAGCAAACAUUGCAAGAUCUUUGCACUCUUUCCUUCAUUCAGAAUAACACCAGUCUCCCUCCCCAAGAAACAACCUUCCUGUUUUAGAGUGUUGUCAUUAAUUGUGAAUAUUCACAUUGGUACCAUGUUUUGUUUGUUUUUCUACAUCCUCCUCUGGAAAAAAAAAAAAAGCAACAACAACAAAAAACCAGAAUUAAAUCACUUUAAGUAGAAUUUAAUGAAGCAGUGGGACCAAGUAAUGACCUUAAAGAUCCAGUACCAAGAGGGAGAAUGGCCCAGAGGUGGGAGCUGUAUGGAGAUGGGGAGUCCUGUGCCAACCAAAGGCUUCACUGUGUGAAGCCCUAAUGUAGGAACAAUCUACCUGCAAGGUAUUAAAGGUUAACAGCUUUCAGGACCUCAGAUACAGCAAGCUAUGUGUAAGAGAUGCGUAACACUGAUAAAUCAUCUGCUUGUGACCCAGCUAUAAAAAAAAAAAUAACCAUUGUAUAAAUGAUUUAGUUACAAAUUCUUUACCUAAAGAUGUCCGUUCGUCUGCUUGUGGAUAUUUUCUUCGAGGAGAUUAUUCAUGGAGCAAGGAUCUAAAAUAAAAAUUGAGGAGGAUGGAGCGAAGCUGGGCUUUGAAGGUCUGAAGGGAUUUUACUCAACUUCCUCUUCUACCUUCAGGCAGAGACCAAAUCUGAGAAAUUGCAACCCAAUUUUGGAAAGUUCUCAGUGUGCAAAUAGGGGGUCAUGAUGGGAAGCUGCUGCUGAACACACUUUGUUGUCACGUGUGCUUCUGGGAAGCUGCUGCAGACCAGGUGACCCCCUCAGCCCUGCUUCAUUCCAAUUCUUAUCUGCCAAUCAGAAGAAGUAUCUGAUCAAAACAGCGGGAGGUUUUUAUCUCUUGGGACCAGUUUUGAUAGAGUAAGGUGGGCAAGAUCCAGCCCUGUGUAGAUGGGAAUUACCCAUUAACUUCUG